rnacentral:rRNA from 1 species
CUGAAGAAAAAGCAUCGGCUAACUCCGUGCCAGCAGCCGCGGUAAUACGGAGGAUGCAAGCGUUAUCCGGAAUCAUUGGGCGUAAAGGGUCCGCAGGUGGCGAAUAAAGUCUGCUGUUAAAGACCGGGGCUUAACUCCGGAAAGGCAGUGGAAACUGAUUAGCUAGAGUACGGUAGGGGUAGAGGGAAUUCCCAGUGUAGCGGUGAAAUGCGUAGAUAUUGGGAAGAACACCGGUGGCGAAAGCGCUCUACUAGGCCGAAACUGACACUGAGGGACGAAAGCUAGGGUAGCGAAAGGGAUUAGAUACCCCUGUAGUCUUAGCGGUAAACGAUGGAUACUAGGUGUAGCUUGUAUCGACCCAAGCUGUGCCGAAGCUAACGCGAUAAGUAUCCCGCCUGGGGAGUACGCACGCAAGUGUGAAACCCAAAGGAAUUGACGGGGGCCCGCACAAGCGGUGGAGUAUGUGGUUUAAUUCGAUGCGACGCGAAGAACCUUACCAGGGCUUGACAUGUCGCGAAUCUAGCGGAAACGUUAGAGUGCCUUAGGGAAUGCGAACACAGGUGGUGCAUGGCUGUCGUCAGCUCGUGUCGUGAGAUGUUGGGUUAAGUCCCGCAACGAGCGCAACCCUCGUCCUUAGUUGCCAAUAUUAAGUUAGGCACUCUAGGGAGACUGCCGGGGACAACUCGGAGGAAGGUGGGGAUGACGUCAAGUCAGCAUGCCCCUUACGUCCUGGGCGACACACGUACUACAAUGGUUGGGACAAAGGGCAGCAAGCUCGCGAGAGUAAGCGAAUCUCAUCAAACCCAGCCACAGUUCAGAUUGCAGGCUGCAACUCGCCUGCAUGAAGUAGGAAUCGCUAGUAAUCGCAGGUCAGCAUACUGCGGUGAAUUCGUUCCCGGGCCUUGUACACACCGCCCGUCACACCAUGGAAGCUGGCUACGCCCGAAGUCGUUACCCUAACCCGGUUUUGGGAGGGGGAUGCCGAAGGUAGAGCUAGUGACUGGGGUGAAGUCGUAACAAGGUAGCCGUACCGGAAGGUGUGGCUGGAUCACCUCCUUU